rnacentral:rRNA from 1 species
AAUUCGAUUAGAGUUUGAUCCUGGCUCAGAUUGAACUGCUGGCGGCAUGCCUUACACAUGCAAGUCGAACGGUAACAGGUCUUCGGAUGCUGACGAGUGGCGAACGGGUGAGUAAUACAUCGGAACGUGCCCGAUCGUGGGGGAUAACGAAGCGAAAGCUUUGCUAAUACCGCAUAAGAUCUACGGAUGAAAGCAGGGGACCGCAAGGCCUUGCGCGAACGGAGCGGCCGAUGGCAGAUUAGGUAGUUGGUGGGAUAAAAGCUUACCAAGCCGACGAUCUGUAGCUGGUCUGAGAGGACGACCAGCCACACUGGGACUGAGACACGGCCCAGACUCCUACGGGAGGCAGCAGUGGGGAAUUUUGGACAAUGGGCGAAAGCCUGAUCCAGCCAUGCCGCGUGCAGGAUGAAGGCCUUCGGGUUGUAAACUGCUUUUGUACGGAACGAAAAGACUCUGGUUAAUACCUGGGGUCCAUGACGGUACCGUAAGAAUAAGCACCGGCUAACUACGUGCCAGCAGCCGCGGUAAUACGUAGGGUGCAAGCGUUAAUCGGAAUUACUGGGCGUAAAGCGUGCGCAGGCGGUUAUAUAAGACAGAUGUGAAAUCCCUGGGCUCAACCUGGGAACUGCAUUUGUGACUGUAUAGCUAGAGUACGGCAGAGGGGGGAUGGAAUUCCGCGUGUAGCAGUGAAAUGCGUAGAUAUGCGGAGGAACACCGAUGGCGAAGGCAAUCCCCUGGGGCCUGUACUGACGCU